rnacentral:rRNA from 1 species
AUUGCCCUAGUAACGGCGAGUGAAGCGGCAACAGCUCAAAUUUGAAAUCUGGCCCUCGGGUCCGAGUUGUAAUUUGUAGAGGAUGCUUUUGGUGAGGUGCCUUCCGAGUUCCCUGGAACGGGACGCCAUAGAGGGUGAGAGCCCCGUCUGGUUGGACACCAAACCUCUGUAAAGCUCCUUCGACGAGUCGAGUAGUUUGGGAAUGCUGCUCUAAAUGGGAGGUAUAUGUCUUCUAAAGCUAAAUACCGGCCAGAGACCGAUAGCGCACAAGUAGAGUGAUCGAAAGAUGAAAAGCACUUUGAAAAGAGAGUUAAAAAGUACGUGAAAUUGUUGAAAGGGAAGCGCUUAUGACCAGACUUGGGCUUGGUUGAUCAUCCUGGGUUCUCCCUGGUGCACUCUUCCAGUUCAGGCCAGCAUCAGUUCGCUGCGGGGGAUAAAAGUUUUGGGAAUGUGGCUCCCUCGGGAGUGUUAUAGCCCAUUGCAUAAUACCCUGCUCCGGACUGAGGUUCGCGCAUCUGCAAGGAUGCUGGCGUAAUGGUCAUCAGCGACCCGUCUUGAAACACGGACCAAGGAGUCGUCUUCGUAUGCGAGUGUUCGGGUGUUAAACCCCUACGCGUAAUGAAAGUGAACGCAGGUGAGAGCUUCGGCGCAUCAUCGACCGAUCCUGAUGUUCUCGGAUGGAUUUGAGUAAGAGCAUACGGGGCCGGACCCGAAAGAAGGUGAACUAUGCCUGUAUAGGGUGAAGCCAGAGGAAACUCUGGUGGAGGCUCGCAGCGGCUCUGACGUGCAAAUCGAUCGUCAAAUAUGGGCAUGGGGGCGAAAGACUAAUCGAACCUUCUAGUAGCUGGUUUCCGCCGAAGUUUCCCUCAGGA